rnacentral:rRNA from 1 species
AUCCUGGCUCAGGAUAAACGCGGGCGGCGUGCCUAAGACAUGCAAGUCGAACGGAGAGUUUGUAGCAAUACGGGCUCUUAGUGGCGAAUGGGUGAGUAACGCGUUGGUGACCUGCCCCGAAGUGAGGGAUAACAGUUCGAAAGGACUGCUAAUACCACAUGUGGCCAGCGGAUUUAGAAACCGCUGUCUAAAGGAGUAAUUCGCUUCGGGAGGGGCCUGCGUCCCAUCAGCUAGUUGGUAGGGUAAUGGCCUACCAAGGCUACGACGGGUAGGGGGCCUGAGAGGGUGGCCCCCCACAUUGGCACUGAAACACGGGCCAAACACCUACGGGUGGCAGCAGUCGGGAAUAUUGGGCAAUGGGCGAAAGCCUGACCCAGCAACGCCGCGUGUGCGAUGAAGGUCUUCGGAUCGUAAAGCACUUUUCGGAGAGAUGAGGAAGGACAGUAUCUCCGGAAUAAGGAUCGGCUAACUACGUGCCAGCAGCCGCGGUAAAACGUAGGAUCCAAGCGUUAUCCGAAUUUACUGGGCGUAAAGCGCGUGCAGGCGGUUUGGUAAGUCGGAUGUGAAAGCUCCUGGCUCAACUAGGAGAGGCUGUUCGAAACUACCAGACUUGAGGACGGUAGAGGGAGGUGGAAUUCCCGGUGUAGUGGUGAAAUGCGUAGAUAUCGGGAGGAACACCAGUGGCGAAAGCGACCUCCUGGACCGUUCCUGACGCUCAGACGCGAAAGCUAGGGGAGCAAACGGGAUUAGAAACCCCGGUAGUCCUAGCCGUAAACGAUGUAGACUUGGCGUCGGUGGGGUAAAAGCCAUCGGUGCCGAAGCUAACGCGUUAAGUCUACCGCCUGGGG